CUCCAGGACAAGCUGUGAAACGCCUAGAUUCCAGAGCAACAGACUGUGAUCCAUUCCCAACAACCCCUCCCUACCGUCUGCCACCAGUUCCCUUAAAGCAGGAAUCAGAGCUAGACUGACUCAACUAAGAAUUGUUUUGGAGAACUUGGAACUCAACAUUCCAUAAAGCAAGAAGCUUGACAUAGCAUCGAUGAGCCCAAGUCAACUAUAUGAACAAAACAAUGUCUCAGGAGGGGCAGGGAAUCACGUCAGAAGAAUCCUGAGUCCUUAGAUGACCUUGUAGAAAAG